GUGGGUGACGGUGGCGGCGCUCUCGGGGCGGCCGGCGGCGGCAUCGUCCACCAGGAUGUCGACGCUCCCAAGAUCCCCGGCUGCUCGAAUGACUUCAUGCUCGUUUACCCGGGGCUCUAGCUAUAUAGUUCACAAGAGGGUUACUUGGUUGCUUUAUGUAAGUCAUUCUCAUUGAAGCUCUAUUUUAUUCACUAGGAAGUGGUGAAUCAUCAUUGAUGGGCAUCGUGGCAUAUGCUGGGUAUGAGUUUGCUGGUACCUCACUUGCGAUGUUUGUGUGCAUCUUCUGGAGCUACUCAUACAGUACUAUUUUUAAGUACAUACAUAGCCAUGAUUGUGUGAUAAAUUAUUUGUCAGGAUAUGGUUGUACUUGAUUAAGCCUAUAUUGUAGAUAGAGUGUCCGAAUUUACCAAGGUAUUAACUUUCUUAUUCCGGAAGAGGUUGUCUAGAAGACAAAAUCAGUUGGGAAACUCAAACAAGAAAGCUGAGAUUUGCGUACAAUAGAGUGAAAGAUUUAACAAUGAGAAGGUUGAGUUUGAGCAAGCUUCCUUCACAAAAGGCCAAGACUCAAGGGAAAGAGAAGAGCACCAGGAAAAUGCAGAAAUGGAAACCACCUCCAGUGGGGAACCUGAAGAUUAAUAUUGAUGGGGCUUUCAUCGAGGCAUCAGAUAUAGGCGGCUGGGGUUUCACGCUUAGAAAUGAUCAAGGAGUUUUGUUGGCUGCUGGUGCGGGUAAGCUAAAGCAUGUGUCUGAUCCAGUACACGCUGAAACGCUUGCCCUACAACAGGCUACGAAUAUUUGUGAUUGAAAUGGGCUGCCAGCAGGUAAUAUUUGAAAUGGAUUCCAUGAUGUUGAAACAAGCAAU